rnacentral:rRNA from 1 species
UACGUCCACACCUUUUAGGUGUGGAUCAGUUGACUGUCAUACUUCCAAGAAAAGCUCGAACUACUGUAAAGCAUCACGUACCUGUACCGUAAACCGACACAGGUGGGUUGGUAGAGUAUACCAAGGGGCGCGAGAUAACUCUCCCUAAGGAACUCGGCAAAAUGACCCCGUAACUUCGGGAGAAGGGGUGCCAAGUAACUCAAAUUGCUUGGUCGCAGUGACCAGGCCCUGGCGACUGUUUAUCAAAAACACAGGUCUCCGCAAAGUCGUAAGACAACAUAUGGGGGCUGACGCCUGCCCAGUGCCGGAAGGUUAAAGAAGUUGGUUAUUCACUCGUGGAGAAGCUGACGACUGAAGCCCCGGUGAACGGCGGCCGUAACAAUAACGGUCCUAAGGUAGCGAAAUUCCUUGUCGGGUAAGUUCCGACCCGCACGAAAGGCGUAACGAUCAGGGCACUGUCUCGGAGAGAGACUCGGUGAAAUAGACAUGUCUGUGAAGAUGCGGACUACCUGCACCUGGACAGAAAGACCCUAUGAAGCUUGACUGUAGCCUGGAAUUGGGUUCGGGCUCUUCUUGCCAGCCUAGGUGGGAGGCGUUGAAGGCUUUCUUUUGGGGAAGCUGGAGCCAUCAGUGAGAGACCACUCUGGAGGAGCUAGAAUUCUAAUGGCGUUCCUUGAAGCAGGACGCUUGACAGUUUCAGGUGGGCAGUUUGACUGGGGCGGUCACCUCCUAAAAGGUAACGGAGGUGUGCAAAGGUUCCCUCAGGCUGGACGGAAAUCAGCCGUAGAGUGUAAAGGCAGAAGGGAGCUUGACUGCAAGACCUACAAGUCGAGCAGGGGCGAAAGCCGGCCUUAGUGAUCCGACGGUUCCAUGUGGAAGGGCCGUCGCUCAACGGAUAAAAGUUACUCUAAGGAUAACAGGCUGAUCUUCCCCAAGAGUUCACAUCGACGGGAAGGUUUGGCACCUCGAUGUCGGCUCAUCGCAACCUGGGGCGGUAGUACGUCCCAAGGGUUGGGCUGUUCGCCCAUGAAAGCGGUACGUGAGCUGGGAUCAGAACGUCGUGAGACAGUUCGGUCCAUAUCCGGUGUAGGCGUUAGAGCAUUGAGAGGAGUCUUCCAUAGUACGAGAGGACCUGGAAGAACACACCUCUGGUAUACCAGUUAUCAUGCCAAUGGUAGACGCUGGGUAGCCAUGUGUGGAGUGGAUAACCGCUGAAAGCAUCUAAGUGGGAAGCCCACCUCAAGAUGAGUGCUCUCCAUUAGGUCACAGGAAGACAACCUGUUUGAUAGGCAGAAGGUGUAAGGCUAGUAAUAGUUUCAGCUGAUCUGUACUAAUAGACC